UGCCGCGUGGUCGCCCCGAGGGGGAGGCCGGAGGGAGCCCACCAGCUCCGCGGGGGUUGCGCGGGACCCCCCGGCACCCGCUGGUGCGCCGGGAAGUGUUUGCCGGGCCGGAGCUCCCGCCCGCCCCGCGGAGUUCGCGUCGGCCCCUCCGCUACCGGUGGGUGAGGAGAGCCGCGAUCGCCUCCCCCGCCGCUGCCGGAGCGGGGGACCAGCCUCCCCCUUCCCCGCGGGGGCAGGAUGCAGAGGAGCCCUAGCGCUGACGAUUACAUAAAUUGUGUGGCUCUUCCCUGAUGCUCCAUAAAUGGCCACUGGUGCCUUAUUCUUUUCACUGCCUUAUCUACUCUCACCAAAAUGUAUUAUUUGCUUCCACAUAUCUUUGUUGCACAUUAUUGCAAGCUGUUUUUGUUCAGUGCUGUCCAUGCUGCAAUGCAGAAGUGGGAAUAGAUAUCUUCUAAAACAUGGACCAGUUUUCAAAUGUUAACUUUGCUAGGAGGGCAAAAAAACACCUGCAAAAAUAUCUCCAUCUUCAGGUCCCAAAUUAGCAUGUGGGUACUAUGAUUGAAGAAUAUGAAGUCCUUAGUUAUAAUGUUUGUAACCAAGUUCAGCUGUAUUUAAAUAAAUUUCUUCUGGAUGAGACAGUUUGAAGACAUCUGUUGAGUUGGUUUGUUCUUUUAUCUUAAGUAACUCUGGCCUUCUAAUACAAC